UAGCAUUUUCCUAUAUCUUGUUUUUCCUUUACCAUUGUUUAAAAUCCUCACCAUAAGAAGUGCAAUAUUAAAACAAAAGCCGUGAGUCUUUUUAGCCCAGUGUGUAAAGACACACUCAGUGGCACAACU
rfam:Myotis lucifugus cont2.28235, whole genome shotgun sequence.